rnacentral:rRNA from 1 species
GUGGGGAAUUUUGGACAAUGGGGGCAACCCUGAUCCAGCAAUGCCGCGUGCAGGAAGAAGGCCUUCGGGUUGUAAACUGCUUUUGUACGGAACGAAACGGUCUGGGUUAAUACCCUGGGCUAAUGACGGUACCGUAAGAAUAAGCACCGGCUAACUACGUGCCAGCAGCCGCGGUAAUACGUAGGGUGCGAGCGUCAAUCGGAAUUACUGGGCGUAAAUCGUGAGCAGGCGGUUUUGUAAGACAGGCGUGAAAUCCCCGGGCUCAACCUGGGAAUUGCGCUUGUGACUGCAAAGCUGGAGUGCGGCAGAGGGGGAUGGAAUUCCGCGUGUAGCAGUGAAAUGCGUAGAUAUGCGGAGGAACACCGAUGGCGAAGGCAAUCCCCUGGGCCUGCACUGACGCUCAUGCACGAAAGCGUGGGGAGCAAACAGGAUUAGAAACCCGGGUAGUCC